GACUUGGUGGCGCAAUGGUAGCGCGUCCGACUCCAGUUCUGAUCUUGUAUCCUUACGGAUCCGUUGGCGAUCGGAAGGCUGCGUGUUCAAAUCACGUCCGGGUCA